rnacentral:tRNA from 1 species
GCCGAUUUGCAGGCAAAACUGUGCCGCGGGUGAUCGCGCGUGUACGCGCAUGACGCGCCGAAACCUCCAUGGUAAGGAGGGGGUCGACGGUUCGAGUCCGUCAGAGGGCU